UUCCAGACUCCUACGGGAGGCAGCAGUGGGGAAUAUUGCACAAUGGGGGGAACCCUGAUGCAGCGACGCCGCGUGAGUGAAGAAGUAUUUCGGUAUGUAAAGCUCUAUCAGCAGGGAAGAAAAUGACGGUACCUGACUAAGAAGCCCCGGCUAACUACGUGCCAGCAGCCGCGGUAAUACGUAGGGGGCAAGCGUUAUCCGGAUUUACUGGGUGUAAAGGGAGCGUAGACGGUUAUGCAAGUCUGAAGUGAAAGCCCAAGGCUCAACCAUGGGACUGCUUUGGAAACUGUAAAACUGGAGUGCAGGAGAGGUAAGCGGAAUUCCUAGUGUAGCGGUGAAAUGCGUAGAUAUCUGGAGGAACAUCAGUGGCGAAGGCGACUAUCUGGCACAUAACUGACGCUGAGGAGCGAAAGCGUGGGCAGCAAACAGGAUUAGAUACCCUGGUA
rnacentral:rRNA from 1 species